UUAGGAAGAGUGGAUCAAUGUUAUGUUUCUGACUGCUGAUGAGGCAACAAAUGUACCAUUAAAAUUUCUCUCUACUUUGGGCCUUCAUCUUCCAUCUAUCGAGGCAUAAGAUUGUGCAUGUAUAAAGCUGGUUGCAAAAUCCUUCACAAAUAAAAGUAUACCCCAUGAGUGCAUACAAUAGACCACCUUUUCACUUUUGUUGUUCAUAGAUGCAAAGCAAAGGGAAAAAUUGACAGAUAAGAGCCUCAUGAUAGCAGAGAAGUCUUGAUUCAUGAUCUUGGGGAAAAGCUGUCCAAGUCAAGGAUGCUGUCUUCUUCUGGGGAGAAACUUCCCUGGACGUAUAACAUUGGAAAGAAGCAAUUUACUCAUCUAGACUUGGAGAGUCUGGCUCAACAUCAAAUUAAAAUCAUGCUGGUGUUCACGUGAGGGUGCUUUUGUGCAAAGCUGGAGAAGCACGGGAUGUGAAGGGCCUUGCUGGAGGCAGAGCUCUGCAGA